AACGCUGGCUCCGUGCCUAAAGAAGAAAGUCGAGCGGUAACAGGUGUAGCAAUACAUGCUGACGAUUCCCCGACGGGUGAGUAACGCUUGGGAAUCUGCCUGUUAGUGGGGGACAACCCGGGGAAACUCGGGCUAAUACCGCAUACGCACUACGGUGGAAAGCCGGGGACCGCAAGGCCUGGCGCUAACAGAUGAGCCCAAGUCGGAUUAGCUAGUUGGUAGGGUAACGGCCUACCAAGGCGACGAUCCGUAACUGGUCUGAGAGGACGACCAGUCACACCGGAACUGAGACACGGUCCGGACUCCUACGGGAGGCAGCAGUGGG
rnacentral:rRNA from 1 species